rnacentral:rRNA from 1 species
CGGACGGGUGAGUAAUGCGUGGAAGACCUGCCGUAUACUGGGGGAUAACACUUAGAAAUAGGUGCUAAUACCGCAUAAGCGCACAGCUUCGCAUGAAGCGGUGUGAAAAACUCUGGUGGUAUACGAUGGUUCCGCGUCUGAUUAGCUAGUUGGUGGGGUAAUGGCCUACCAAGGCAACGAUCAGUAGCCGGCCUGAGAGGGUGAACGGCCACAUUGGGACUGAGACACGGCCCAAACUCCUACGGGAGGCAGCAG